GCUGGGUGUGGUGGCGCACACCUGUAGUCUCAGUUACUCGGGAGGCUGAGGCAGGAGGAUUACUUGAGCCUAGGAGGGUGAGGCUGCAGUGAGCCAUGAUCACACCAUUGUACUCCAGCCUAGGCUACAGAGCAAGACCCUGUCUCAG
ensembl:misc_RNA Metazoa_SRP Metazoan signal recognition particle RNA